rnacentral:rRNA from 1 species
UAGAGUUUGAUCAUGGCUCAGAACGAACGCUGGCGGCAUGCCUAACACAUGCAAGUCGAACGUGAUCCGGGGCUUCGGUUCCGGUGAAAGUGGCGGACGGGUGAGUAACGCGUGGGAACCUGCCCAGUGGUAGGGGAUAACCGCGGGAAACUGCGGCUAAUACCCUAUGCGCCCUGCGGGGCAAAGAUUUAUCGCCAUUGGAGGGGCCCGCGUCGGAUUAGGUAGUUGGUGGGGUAACGGCCUACCAAGCCAUCGAUCCGUAGCUGGUCUGAGAGGAUGAUCAGCCACACUGGGACUGAGACACGGCCCAGACUCCUACGGGAGGCAGCAGUGGGGRRKWWUKGGACAAUGGGGGCAACCCUGAUCCAGCAAUGCCGCGUGAGUGAUGAAGGCCUUAGGGUUGUAAAGCUCUUUCGGCGGGGAAGAUGAUGACGGUACCCGCAGAAGAAGCCCCGGCUAACUUCGUGCCAGCCGCCGCGGUAAUAC